rnacentral:tRNA from 1 species
GGGGUUGUGGCUCAGUGGAGAGCACUUGUCUAGCAUGCAGGAGGCACUAGGUUCAAUCCCC